rnacentral:rRNA from 1 species
UACGAAGGGGGCUAGCGUUGUUCGGAAUUACUGGGCGUAAAGCGCGUGUAGGCGGUUGUCCAAGUCGGGUGUGAAAGCCUUGAGCUCAACUCAAGAAAUGCACUCGAUACUGGGCGACUCGAGUGCCGGAGAGGAUAGUGGAAUUCCCAGUGUAGUGGUGAAAUUCGUAGAUAUUCGGAAGAACACCAGUGGCGAAGGCGACUUACUGGACAGAUAUUGACGCUGAGGUGCGAAAGCGUGGGGAGCAAACAGG